UACGGGGGGAGCAAGCGUUGUUCGGAUUUACUGGGCGUAAAGGGCGCGUAGGCGGCGCAACAAGUCACUUGUGAAAUCUCCGGGCUUAACCCGGAGCGGUCAAGUGAUACUGUCGUGCUAGAGUCCGGAAGAGGUGAGUGGAAUUCCUGGUGUAGCGGUGAAAUGCGCAGAUAUCAGGAGGAACACCGAUGGCGAAGGCAGCUCACUGGGACGGUACUGACGCUGGAGAACGCGAAAGCGUGGGGAGCAACAGG
rnacentral:rRNA from 1 species